rnacentral:rRNA from 1 species
UACGGAGGGGGCUAGCGUUAUUCGGAAUUAUUGGGCGUAAAGGGCGCGUAGGCGGCCUGGUAAGUCAAAGGUGAAAUCCCUCGGCUCAACUGAGGAACUGCCUUUGAAACUGUCGGGCUUGAGGCCGGGAGGGGGUAGCGGAAUUCCCAGUGUAGCGGUGAAAUGCGUAGAUAUUGGGAGGAACACCAGUGGCGAAGGCGGCUACCUGGACCGGUUCUGACGCUGAUGCGCGAAAGCGUGGGGAUCAAACAGG